ACAACAUGUCAUUACGGUGGAAUUGUUUUCAAGUUUUUAGAGAAGCAAGCCGGAAAAUUGGACGACAGAGUUUAUGGAGAGGAAGGAAAUAAAAAGGUGGGGAAGAAAGAGCAACAUUUGCAGAAGAAAAAUGACUCUACUCUGCUGGGUCUGGACAGAAAGCACCUAAUCUUGUCCGAAUGAUAACUCUAUGGACUCCCAAAUGAAAAAGAGGCUGUUUAUGGACCUUUGAAACAGAUGGGUAGGUUGGACGGCAUAUUUUCCCAUUAUUGUUGCAGCUAAGGUUUUGCAAAUCUUUAAGUGAAGCCAGUGGCAUCGUGUGAUUCAAGUGGCUAAAUGGAUGUUAAGCAAAGAGCAAGGCGCUACACGCAUACACGAUGGAAUAAUUGUGAGGAUAGGAGAUUAUGAACUUUUGCGAGUGAAUAACGUGUUUUAACAUUGAUG